GACGAACGCUGGCGGCGUGCCUAAUACAUGCAAGUCGAACGCUGAAGGAGGAGCUUGCUUCUCUGGAUGAGUUGCGAACGGGUGAGUAACGCGUAGGUAACCUGCCUGGUAGCGGGGGAUAACUAUUGGAAACGAUAGCUAAUACCGCAUAAGAGUAGAUGUUGCAUGACAUUUGCUUAAAAGGUGCAAUUGCAUCACUACCAGAUGGACCUGCGUUGUAUUAGCUAGUUGGUGAGGUAACGGCUCACCAAGGCGACGAUACAUAGCCGACCUGAGAGGGUGAUCGGCCACACUGGGACUGAGACACGGCCCAGACUCCUACGGGAGGCAGCAGUAGGGAAUCUUCGGCAAUGGACGGAAGUCUGACCGAGCAACGCCGCGGGAGUGAAGAAGGUUUUCGGAGCGUAAAGCUCUGUUGUAAGGGAAGAACGAGUGUGAGAGUGGAAAGUUCACACUGUGACGGUAUCUGACCAGAAAGGGACGGCUAACUACGUG
rnacentral:rRNA from 1 species